GACGAACGCUGGCGGCGUGCUUAACACAUGCAAGUCGAACGGAAAGGCCCUGCUUUUGUGGGGUGCUCGAGUGGCGAACGGGUGAGUAACACGUGAGUAACCUGCCCUUGACUUUGGGAUAACUUCAGGAAACUGGGGCUAAUACCGGAUAGGAGCUCCUGCUGCAUGGUGGGGGUUGGAAAGUUUCGGCGGUUGGGGAUGGACUCGCGGCUAAUCAGCUUGUUGGUGGGGUAGUGGCUUACCAAGGCUUUGACGGGUAGCCGGCCUGAGAGGGUGACCGGCCACAUUGGGACUGAGAUACGGAGCAGACUCCUACGGGAGGCAGCAGUGGGGAAUAUUGCACAAUGGGCGGAAGCCUGAUGCAGCAACGCCGCGUGCGGGAUGACGGCCUUCGGGUUGUAAACCGCUUUCGCCUGUGACGAAGCGGGAGUGACGGUAAUGGGUAAAGAAGCACCGGCUAACUACGUG
rnacentral:rRNA from 1 species